UUCAGGGCGCAAGUAAAGCAUAAAAGUGCACCCUGAAGCCCAAAGAGAAAUCUUAGUAUCGUUAUACAGUGUUUGACGUAGCUGUGAACGUGUAAGGAGGUCUUGUUUGCUUGGUGAUUGCUAUAUGUCAUGUACUUGUAAUGAAGCGUCUUGCGAACAUGCCUUGGAAACUGGCGUGAAAGGCUUUCAUUGAAAGCGGCACAUACCCGAUGCAUUUGUAGCGCAGUAUGCUGAUGCAUCGGGAUGUUGUCCUUGAGGAAAUCAUUGUCAAGUGGAUUCGAUUACGCUCAGCAUCGCAGAAAUCUGAGAGGUCUCUUUCGGCAUUGGAGUGUAGCUCAUUCCGAAUUACACAUACAUAAAGAGAGGAAUUGGUGUCAAAGAUGUUCAUUCAAGAAUGGCGCACACCUACAGGGACAUACCCAGUUACCCACGAUGGUAACAAAGAGGAAUAUCAAUACAAACUGAGUGACCCAUACGAAGUGCUCCAAGUCGACGUCGAAGAUGUUCUUCGAACAGCGGUGUCUAUCCAAGUCCCCAUUUACAGUGACUCAUGUAGGCGUGAAAGAGGUUCGUAGAAGAGCGGCAGGUAUCCGAUGCGCUACCCACUCAACCAUGGACUACCCAGUGACUCAGAUAGGCGGGAGAAUGGUUAGAUGGAAACAUACAAAACUACACAGGCAAACAGAUACAAAGAUACAUACAUGGA